rnacentral:rRNA from 1 species
UACGAAGGGGGCUAGCGUUGCUCGGGAUCACUGGGCGUAAAGGGUGCGUAGGCGGGUCUUUAAGUCAGUGGUGAAAGCCUGUUGCUUAACAACAGAACUGCCAUUGAUACUGUCAAUCUUGAGUACAUUUGAUGUGGGCGGAAUGUGUCAUGUAGCGGUGAAAUGCUUAGAUAUGACACAGAACACCGAUUGCGAAGGCAGCUCACAAAACUGUAACUGACGCUGAGGCACGAAAGCGUGGGUAUCAAACAGG